GUUUACAUAUUAUUUAUAAUUUUUGAAAAUUAAUAAUAUUAAAAUGUAAAACUAUAUUUUAUGCCACGUGUCAUCUUUCGGGAGAAGUUUUUUUUGCUGAUGUGGACGCUUUAUGGAGCCUUAAAAGGUUCCUUUUAUUAGUAAGGUCUUUUUUUUUAAGUGAAAAAUGAUAAUUUUACGUAUGUUUAAUGUAGUGUUUCUAUUUUUUAUGAUGUAUGUUUACAUAUUAUUUAUAAUUUUUGAAAAUUAAUAAUAUUAAAAUGUAAAACUAUAUUUUAUGCCACGUGUCAUCUUUCGGGAGAAAUUUUUUUCGCUGAUGUGAACGCUUUAUGGAGCCUCAAAAGGUCCCUUUUAUUAGUAAGGAUUAGAGGUAUUUUGGUCUUCUUUUGUUCGGUUUAGGCUAAGCCUAUUAAUUAAGAAAACCCAUAUAUAUAUGUAGAUGAUUUCAUAUUAUAUCUAGAUAAAAAUACAAGUAUACAUUCUUAGCAAAAAAAAAAUAGGAUCAAAUGCUGGAAUGGGACAAAGGGAGUCAAAAAAUCUAGAAUGGAUCUCUUCUAC
rnacentral:lncRNA from 1 species